rnacentral:rRNA from 1 species
GGUUUGGUGUUGGGAGUGGAGAAGGAGGGGAAGACGGCAGCGGGCAGCGGCGGUCGCGGUGGCGGCGGAGGAGGGCGGCGGGAGCCAGAGGCUACCGGCUGCGUGGCCUCGUCGGAUGCGGUCUGGGCGGGUGUGGCGGCGUCCUCCGGUAGGUUUCCGGAUUCUUUUUAUUCUUUCCGGCGUCCUUCUUUGGCUUCUUUCGGCGGCGGCGGUGACGGCGGGGCAGGAGGAGACCGCGGUGGUACCAGCUCCUGGGGAAGGAGCAGGAGCGGCCGCCGUUCCUUCCUCCCAAGGACCUCGACCUCCUCUAGCUGCCCCGGCUGAAGCCCUAGAAGCCCUCGCAGCACCUCCUGCACCCUCCUUCACUCUUCUUUCGCACCUUACUGGUCUUCUUCUUCUCCUUCUUCUUUGCGUUCGCUCCCCUACGGUUCGCGAACCUACCGCUACGUCCGCCGCUACCACUACCACUACCGCUAACACGUCCGCUAAGCCAUCGACUCUCGCUCCUCCUCCCACUCUUCCCACUCUUCUUUCCUUUCUCCUUCUUCUCCUUGUUCUUCUUCUCCUUCCACUUCCUAUUACUAAGUCUCUCGUUCCUCCUGCAACGACUACUGUUACACCUUCUAUACGUUCUACUGUAACUUUUAUACCUUGUUCUGUUGUUUCUCCUCCACUUUAACCCACUCCUACUUGAAAUACGCACCGAUCUCGAUUCUAACGUAGGGGAAGAAUAGUUCCGUUACGUGUCCGAACCCAAGUUACUUGGUUGUGGAUAUGUCUUCCGAACGUAAGGACGUCCCCGAGUAGUUCCGUUCCUACAAUAACCUCGUCGACUCUGUCCAAGACCGUUCUGUGAACGAAAACCAGAGGGAUAAAACGUCGCGGAAGAACUUCUUGCUCUCUUCUGGUGUUCUAAUGUACAUCUUCUACUUUUUCGUCGCCUCCCUUCAAGAUGUCCUCCGGGUGAGUCUCGUGAAUAAAACUGUGGGUGGUCUCUUGAACGGUUUGUCCAGACACUAGUAGAUUUUCUUCGUCGAUUCAAGAAUCCUUAAGUACAACAAGGAUAACAACCACCAAAUAGGUACCUUUUCGUUCUUGCUGAAAACUUUUUCUUUGGACUUUAACAACAACCUUGAGGUCCUUCUGAUACCCUCGAUUACAGUAGUCCGUUAGUCGUGAAUCAACUCGAAGUAAGUAACAGUAAGAAGCACAACCUGCUCCGACUAUCUUACUAUCUCGCACCAGUAAAAUUUCUUCACGUUAGAUAUUAACUCUACGAAGGUAAUAGGUUAUCAAGACUACUCGUUUGACAUUUUCGGUGCAGUUCGACACUUUGACAUCGUUUAAACGUUUAUUUCUUCUCCGUUUGGAAACAGAAGAGCCGUUGCGAACGCGAAAGUCGAUUAAAAGCAUUCUUCAACUUCGCACCCGAAAGAUGAAGUUUCUGUCGCUGCCGACUACUAGAAUCAAGAUAACUUCGUGAAAGUUUCGUCCGACCAUACUUUGGAUUACGUCUUUAUCAACUAAACUGUUUACGAAGCUAGAACGGACUCUUUGAACUUCUUAGUAAGUAGCUCACAUCACUACUACUAUUCCUACGGUUGGAAAUAAUAUAUAACUCACAAGUACCCGUUCCGGCGUGCUAUCAUAAAACGUGUAGCUAAAGGCGUGACGCGGUGUAAAGAAGGAAUAAUGCGUGAGAACCUUAUUUACAGAACUGUUUAGUACGAGUUUACGUUGUUUCCCGAGCGUACUUCCGACACCUAGCAAAGGCACUUCCACUCUUGAGGCAAAACCAGCGCUGACUACCAAAACGUUCCCCGUACCUGAAACUAUUACAAGCUUGACAAUAGGUAAUAGUUGACGGUGUGAGUUCACUACAAAUAUAGGUGUCCUCACCUUCCUGUCGCGCAUUUAGUAACUGACCGACGUCAUAACGUAAUUAGAGGGGACGGCUGUUUCGGUUCAAAAUGAGAGAAACGUUCAGUAAAAGUUUCCUCUUGGACGUCGUCAAAGGACAACUAGUCCGGAUGUACGGACGUUAUUACUUAUCCGAGAGGGAACGAGCCGUCUAACUGUUCUAUAGUUCAUUUUUAAGUUUCCUUUUACGAUUGUUUAGGACCGAAGUCUCCUUACGACUUAGGUACCCAAACUAUAACCUCCGAUCACUGUCACUCCUUCUUGCACAUGCCCCGGUGUUCGUUGCUUUCCGCUGAAGCCGUGUCGAGGUCUUUGAAGUUGUCCUAAACUUACUUGAGAACGUUGUAGGGAACGUCGGAUUCUGUAAGAGUGCGGCGAUAAACCGACCCCGACCAUAAAGUGGUAACGAAGUUUUCGUUGAUCUUCUCAACAGGUUUUCCGUACAUUUGUCAUUAUCGUCAUUACUGUUAUUAUUUCCUAGCGCCAAACAAUACUAACCGGUCCUAGCACACCUUGGCAACUUUCGAGAAGUUCUAAGACCCGUUCUCUAAACACACUUGUACCUGUUCGUUUCCCUCUUCUCUUCUGAACGACUCUUAACCUCCGCUUUCUUUGUGCUUCUCUUCUUUUCGUGUGCUCUUGUUUUCUCUUUCCUGUCCUCUUCACGAUUUCUCUCCCUGACUUAUUAUUUACUUUGUGACUUUCUCCUCCGUACAUAACAAAACAAACAGAGUCCCAAUCUUCCCCAUUUACACGAUCCGACGAAGUAGUAGUCCGGUGAAGGGUGCUAAGGAAAGCUCUUACGUACGGAAGCGACAAGUAAAACUGUACUUUCUACUAACUUCUUACAGUCAACCUCCUUUGCUCUAGCUCCGGCACAUAAGGCACAAAACGUCAUCUUCUAUUCAAUCUUGACUCGGGAUCGUCUAUUACUUUCGGCAUGUUAACUGGGCAGAGACAUUGUACACACACGAGUUACUUUGUCUUCUGACAUUGUCAUAUAGGUUGGGUCCACACGAUCUCCAUGUUAAUACAGUAUUGACUGAAGUUGGUAGUUAAAUAAGUCCGUCCAUAAAGUGGUAACGAAGUUUUCGUUCAUUCAUGCAUCUUCUCAAAGGCUUUCCUUACAUUUGUCAUUAUCGUCAUUAUUGCUCUUAUAUCCCAGAACUUAAAAACAAUAAACCGAUGCUCCAUGUACACAGAAGUGGUUUAUAGUCUCGUACUCAUGCGUGCCCAAAAUGAACUGUCCCAUGUUUUUGUCAUGUUUUUGUGUUAGAAGAUGAGG